AGAGGGGGCAAGCGUUGUUCGGAAUUACUGGGCGUAAAGGGCGCGUAGGCGGCCGCCUAAGUCAGACGUGAAAUCCCUCGGCUCAACCGGGGAACUGCGUCUGAUACUGGGUGGCUUGAAUCCGGGAGAGGGAUGUGGAAUUCCAGGUGUAGCGGUGAAAUGCGUAGAUAUCUGGAGGAACACCGGUGGCGAAGGCGGCAUCCUGGACCGGUAUUGACGCUGAGGCGCGAAAGCCAGGGGAGCAAACGGGAUUAGAUACCCCGGUAGUCCUGGCCCUAAACCAUGAGUGCUUGGUGUGGCGGGUAUCGAUCCCUGCCGUGCCGAAGCUAACGCAUUAAGCACUCCGCCUGGGGAGUACGGUCGCAAGGCUGAA
rnacentral:rRNA from 1 species